GUUACUGUUCUUGUCUGCAAGGACGUAAAAGAAAACCAGGACAGAAGAUGUGGUGAAUAUCUUACUGUGAUGGCAGACAGAUUGUCCCGUGACUUCAGUGAUGUACCUUGUGCUUCCAACAACGACGGGGAUGUCUUACCCCUACAUGAUUACGAGCGACUCCUGAGGGAACAGUUCCACAUCUACACGUCUCUCCACCCUUCAACUUCCUAACUGAGGACCACAGCACAAGGUGAAGCUAAAACUGACGGUACAGUUCCUCAUCUACGUCUCUCCACUCUUCAUCGUCCCCCACAGAGGACCACAGCACCAGGUGAAGCCUAUACUGACGAUACUGUUCCUCAUCUACACGUCUCUCAACCCUUCAUCGUCCCCCACAGAGGACCACAGUACCAGGUGAAGCCAAAACUGACGGUACAGUUCCUCAUCUACACGUCUCUCAACUCUUCAUCGUCCUCCAUCGAAGACCACAGUACCAGGUGAAG